UGAGGGAAUAUUGGGUCAAUGGACGGAAGUCUGAACCAGCCAUGCCGCGUGAAGGAAUAAGGCCCUAUGGGUCGUAAACUUCUUUUGUGGUGGAGCAAUAAGAUCUACGCGUAGGUCGAUGAGAGUACAUCACGAAUAAGCAUCGGCUAACUCCGUGCCAGCAGCCGCGGUAAUACGGAGGAUGCAAGCGUUAUCCGGAAUUAUUGGGUUUAAAGGGUGCGUAGGCGGAUGGGUAAGUCAGCGGUGAAAUGUCCCGGCUCAACCGGGGAACUGCCAUUGAUACUGCCUGUCUUGAAUGCGGAUGCCGUGGGAGGAAUGUGUAGUGUAGCGGUGAAAUGCAUAGAUAUUACACAGAACACCGAUUGCGAAGGCAUCUCACGAAUCCGUUAUUGACGCUGAGGCACGAAAGCGU
rnacentral:rRNA from 1 species